AAAAACCAACCAAUGGACUGAGCGGCGCCGGUGAAAACCAUAUGUAUCCUAUGUCCCUCACAUCAAUAAAAAAGGGGCAAUGCACAAAGGAGUAUAGACGUUAAUAAUCAUGAAUCUGAGCAUGGUCUUGCAUCUUAACAAAGACUUCAUCACAUUGAACCCACUAUUCAUCUCCCUCAUGAUUCAAAAAUGACACACAUCAUGUAGUCUCAUCUUCUUCUUCCAUAUAUUUUACAUAAAAACUACAACAACAAAAAAUAUUCCUUUUCAAUCUUCAACCAUUCCAUCUGUUAAGAAAUCAACCGACACCGUUUUUCUUAGCUUGUACGUGGUAAGUUGAACAACAUGAUAAUUAUUUAAUUUAUUUUGCUUUUAUAAUUUUGUAAAUGUAAAAGGUUUCAACCACUCUUUUCUCUCUUAUUUUUUUAUUCUCUUUAGAUUCAUUAUGUGAUUGUUCUUUUUAAUAAUAUGUUUUUAUUCUAAAGGUGGAUUUCUAAGAUGGUGAAUAUUUUAACCAAAGUGUUAGUGAGUUUAUAGAUUGAAUGUUUAUGUCAGCAUCUAUUUAGCUGCAUAAUUUUAACUCAGCUUCAUCGAGACAAAAUAUAAUUUUCAUAAGUAAACUUAAGAAGAGGUAUUGGUCUCAUAAGUAAAUGGAUUGGUUAAGAUUAGGCUUGUUUAUUAUGUGUUAGUGAUGCUAAAUCGAACUACCAUAUAGCAAGUAACUCCAUUUUCUUUUUAUAGUUAUACUUGUCCUAUUGUAUAAUAGUUCUAAAUUUAUUAUAUGAAGUUAAGGCUUGUAAGUAUGACUUGGAGUAGGACCCUAACCAAUCUAAGUAUCACUGCUCUGAAGUCUCUACCAUCUUUUUUUUUUAUAAUUGUUUUUUAUUAGAUAUAUGUUAGUUGUGUAGACUGCAUGGUGCGCAUAUAAUAGUUAAUAAAAAUAUUUUUAGGGUCAAAUAUAUAUUAUUAAAUCUAUUUAGAUUAUGUUUUAAUUUGUUUUGGGCGUGGGCUCUAGGCCUAACUCUAAU
rnacentral:lncRNA from 1 species